AUCCGCCUGUCGAGUCCAAAAUAGGACGAAAUGCUCAUCAUGAAU
rnacentral:hammerhead_ribozyme from 1 species